rnacentral:rRNA from 1 species
UACGUAGGGUGCGAGCGUUAAUCGGAAUUACUGGGCGUAAAGCGUGCGCAGGCGGCGCGUUAAGACAGGUGUGAAAGCCCCGAGCUUAACUUGGGAAUUGCGCUUGUGACUGGCGUGCUGGAGUGUGGCAGAGGGAGGUGGAAUUCCACGUGUAGCAGUGAAAUGCGUAGAGAUGAUGGAGGAACACCGAUGGCGAAGGCAGCC